GGUUGAUCCUGCCGGAGGUUACUGCUAUCGGAGUUCGAUUAAGCCAUGCGAGUCUAAAGGUUUCUUCGGAAACCUUGGCGGACUGCUCAGUAACACGUGGAUAANNNNCCUUGGGACCGGAAUAACCCCGGGAAACUGGGGAUAAUACCGGAUAGAUCAGGGAUGCUGGAAUGCACCUUGAUCCAAAGCUCCGGCGCCCAAGGAUGGGUCUGCGGCCUAUCAGGUUGUAGUGGGUGUAACGUACNUACUAGCCGACGACGGGUACGGGUUGUGAGAGCAAGAGCCCGGAGAUGGAUUCUGAGACACGAAUCCAGGCCCUACGGGGUGCAGCAGGCGCGAAACCUUUACAAUGUGCGAAAGCAUGAUAAGGGAACUCCGAGUGUCAGUAUCUAAUACUGGCUGUCCUUGUGCCUAAACCGCACAAGAUAGCAAGGGCCGGGUAAGACCGGUGCCAGCCGCCGCGGUAACACCGGCGGCCCGAGUGGUAGCCGCUAUUAUUGGGUCUAAAGGGUCCGUAGCCGGUUCGAUAAGUCCUCUGGGAAAUCUGGUUGCUUAACAAUCAGACUGCCAAGGGAUACUGUUGAACUUGAGACCGGGAGAGGUAAGAGGUACUUCAGGGGUAGGAGUGAAAUCUUGUAAUCCCUGGGGGACCAUCUGUGGCGAAGGCGUCUUACCAGAACGGGUCUGACGGUGAGGGACGAAAGCUGGGGGCGCAAACCGGAUUAGAUACCCGGGUAGUCCCAGCCGUAAACGAUGCUCGCUAUGUGUCAGGUACGGUGUGACCGUAUCUGGUGCCGUAGGGAAGCCGUGAAGCGAGCCACCUGGGAAGUACGGUCGCAAGACUGAAACUUAAAGGAAUUGGCGGGGGAGCAC
rnacentral:rRNA from 1 species